CACUGCAUGUCUUUGUUGUGGCCUUUUGUGAUUCAGAUAUUCAAAAGCAAUAACAGUUUCCCUUUGAAGGCACAGCAAAGCCUUAUCCUUUAUCACAAUUUUCAGCACUUUGCUAAGAAGGACUUUCAAUAGUUGUGAUGAGAAGAAAACCACCUGUCCGUAGUCCCUGGCAAAAUCCUCCUGGAGACCAUUUGGAAGCCCUGAGGAAGGACUCUUUUCUUCUUUCCAUCAGCCUGGGGCUGCCAGCACAUGAUGCCAUGCUGCCAGCGACCAUCAGAUGGCAAGAGUGCAGAGCAAGAGAUCCUGUUCAAGAGUGACAGCUGAGAACACAGUGCCUGGAGUCCCAGUCUGGAGAGUGUGCGAGUCCCGCUGAAGACAAGAGCCAAAGAACAGUUUGGUAAGAGUGGCCUACAGUUGCAUUCUGCUGGGCUGCUGCUCCCUGGAGACCUCCCACCUCUGGCUCUGGGGUUCAACUCAAUCCGUGGUAGGCCUUGGGAACCUUGCAUGUACCCUAAAAAGUUACUUAUGUGUGUUUUUAAAAUAAAUGCAUUUACUCAUUGGUUUCUUAAUAUUUUAAUCCUUGAGAAAUUUAAGAUGGUGAAAUGAGAGUGCUGGAAAAAGUAAGAAUCACUGUUUUUGGUUCAGUAA
rnacentral:lncRNA from 1 species